rnacentral:rRNA from 1 species
CCUACGGGGUGCAGCAGUGAGGAAUAUUGGUCAAUGGACGGAAGUCUGAACCAGCCAUGCCGCGUGCAGGAAGACGGCUCUAUGAGUUGUAAACUGCUUUUGUACAAGGGUAAACCUGAAUACGUGUAUUCAGCUGAAAGUACUGUACGAAUAAGGAUCGGCUAACUCCGUGCCAGCAGCCGCGGUAAUACGGAAGGUCCGGGCGUUAUCCGGAUUUAUUGGGUUUAAAGGGAGCGUAGGCCGGUCUUUAAGCGUGCCGUGAAAUUUUGUGGCUCAACCAUGAGAGUGCGGCGCGAACUGGAGACCUUGAGUGCGCGGAAGGCAGGCGGAAUUCGUGGUGUAGCGGUGAAAUGCUUAGAGAUCAUACAGAACACCGAUUGCGAAGGCAGCUUACCAAUCUAUAUCUGACGUUGAGGCACGAAAGCGUGGGGAGCAAACAGGAUUAGAUACCCCGGUAGUC